rnacentral:rRNA from 1 species
CGGGCGUUAUCCGGAUUUAUUGGGUUUAAAGGGAGCGUAGGCCGGAGAUUAAGCGUGUUGUGAAAUGUAGACGCUCAACGUCUGCACUGCAGCGCGAACUGGUUUCCUUGAGUACGCACAAAGUGGGCGGAAUUCGUGGUGUAGCGGUGAAAUGCUUAGAUAUCACGAAGAACUCCGAUUGCGAAGGCAGCUCACUGGAGCGCAACUGACGCUGAAGCUCGAAAGUGCGGGUAUCGAACAGGAUUAGAUACCCUGGUA